rnacentral:rRNA from 1 species
GUGGGGAAUCUUAGACAAUGGGGGAAACCCUGAUCUAGCCAUGCCGCGUGAGCGAUGAAGGCCUUAGGGUUGUAAAGCUCUUUCAGAGGGGAAGAUAAUGACGGUACCCUCAGAAGAAGCCCCGGCUAACUCCGUGCCAGCAGCCGCGGUAAUACGGAGGGGGCUAGCGUUGUUCGGAAUUACUGGGCGUAAAGCGCACGUAGGCGGACCAGAAAGUCAGGGGUGAAAUCCCGGGGCUCAACCACGGAACUGCCUUUGAAACUCCUGGUCUUGAGGUCGAGAGAGGUGAGUGGAAUUCCGAGUGUAGAGGUGAAAUUCGUAGAUAUUCGGAGGAACACCAGUGGCGAAGGCGGCUCACUGGCUCGAUACUGACGCUGAGGUGCGAAAGCGUGGGGAGCAAACAGGAUUAGAUACCCGGGUAGUCC